GAUGAACGCUGGCGGCGUGCCUAACACAUGCAAGUUGAGCGAUCUUCUUCGGAAGAGAGCGGCGGACGGGUGAGUAACGCGUGGGUAACCUGCCCUGUACACACGGAUAACAUACCGAAAGGUAUGCUAAUACGGGAUAAUAUGCUUUUAUCGCAUGGUAGAAGUAUCAAAGCUCCGGCGGUACAGGAUGGACCCGCGUCUGAUUAGCUAGUUGGUAAGGUAACGGCUUACCAAGGCGACGAUCAGUAGCCGACCUGAGAGGGUGAUCGGCCACAUUGGAACUGAGACACGGUCCAAACUCCUACGGGAGGCAGCAGUGGGGAAUAUUGCACAAUGGGCGAAAGCCUGAUGCAGCAACGCCGCGUGAGCGAUGAAGGCCUUCGGGUCGUAAAGCUCUGUCCUCAAGGAAGAUAAUGACGGUACUUGAGGAGGAAGCCCCGGCUAACUACGUGCCAGCCGCCGCGGUAACAC
rnacentral:rRNA from 1 species